ACCUAGCGGCGGACGGGUGAGUAAUGCUUAGGAAUCUGCCUAUUAGUGGGGGACAACAUUCCGAAAGGAGUGCUAAUACCGCAUACGCCCUACGGGGGAAAGCAGGGGAUCUUCGGACCUUGCGCUAAUAGAUGAGCCUAAGUCAGAUUAGCUAGUUGGUGGGGUAAAGGCCUACCAAGGCGACGAUCUGUAGCGGGUCUGAGAGGAUGAUCCGCCACACUGGGACUGAGACACGGCCCAGACUCCUACGGGAGGCAGCAGUGGGGAAUAUUGGACAAUGGGCGAAAGCCUGAUCCAGCCAUGCCGCGUGUGUGAAGAAGGCCUUUUGGUUGUAAAGCACUUUAAGCGAGGAGGAGGCUACCGAGAUUAAUACUCUUGGAUAGUGGACGUUACUCGCAGAAUAAGCACCGGCUAACUCUGUGCCAGCAGCCGCGGUAAUACAGAGGGUGCGAGCGUUAAUCGGAUUUACUGGGCGUAAAGCGUGCGUAGGCGGCUUUUUAAGUCGGAUGUGAAAUCCCUGAGCUUAACUUAGGAAUUGCAUUCGAUACUGGGAAGCUAGAGUAUGGGAGAGGAUGGUAGAAUUCCAGGUGUAGCGGUGAAAUGCGUAGAGAUCUGGAGGAAUACCGAUGGCGAAGGCAGCCCAUCUGGCCUAAUACUGACGCUGAGGUACGAAAGCAUGGGGGAGCAAACAGGAUUAGAUACCCUG
rnacentral:rRNA from 1 species